rnacentral:misc_RNA from 1 species
UGCGCAAGCACCUGCUGAGCGCAUCGAGAAUGACGGACUUGACCGCAUACGCAUGGGACUGCCUGAACGCAACAAGGUCACCCGAACCAACACCACGGGCUUGCGUGGAGUUUGGCCCGGUUAUGGUUAAUAUUGCUUGAACGGCGGGCCUUAUGCAGCGCCGAUAACCUCAGCCCUACGCGAAAUCAUCGAGGCGAAGUGCCGUAAAGGUCGAUGACCUCGAUCGUACUCGUCCGGUUCAGGCUGUGCGGCCCGCGCCGCACACCUUCAUCCCGCAACCGCACGGUAUUGUGCACGCUCUGGCGGACACUCUCGCGGUCCAGCGCG